UACGUAGGGGGCAAGCGUUGUCCGGAAUCAUUGGGCGUAAAGAGCGUGUAGGCGGUCCGGUAAGUCGGCUGUGAAAGUCCAGGGCUCAACCCUGGGAUGCCGGUCGAUACUGCCGGACUAGAGUUCGGAAGAGGCGAGUGGAAUUCCCGGUGUAGCGGUGAAAUGCGCAGAUAUCAGGAGGAACACCAAUUGCGAAGGCAGCUCGCUGGGACGUAACUGACGCUGAGACGCGAAAGCGUGGGGAGCAAACAGG
rnacentral:rRNA from 1 species